AGGAAGAACGCAUUUUGUGUUUUUUUCCUAACGUUUGACCGUUCGUCUUAUUUGAAUUUUUUUAUGAUUGGUAUUUUUAUUGAUAUUAGAUGAUAAAACAUGAAUAGUAAUUUAAGCAUGACUAAUUUUUGUUAAUUUUUUAAGUAAGACGGAUGGUUAAAUGUUGGAUACGGAAACCCACGACUGCACUUAAA
rfam:Oryza punctata chromosome 2, whole genome shotgun sequence.